GAUCUUAAAGGAAACCUUCGACCUAAGGAAAGGAGCGGGAGAGAGUCAGGGUCGCGCAGCGGGACCAGGGAUUAAGGCAGUCGGUUCCCUUGGAGUUCUCUGCUGGUGGACCUCUGCUCUGAUCCACAGUCUUCGGGUACUGCCCAGUAGCAGAGUAACUGUUUGAUCUUUUCAACCCAAGUUCAUCCUCUCAGACACGUUAGCCCUUUUGAGGUAUCCUAUAAAAUACUGAGUUGGCCUUCUGUAUCCAUCAGUUCCAUAUCAGUGGAUUCAACCAACUGUAUGUAGAUUGUUCCAACUGCCAGUGAGAACAAUGACUAAACACCACCUCCAAUUCUACCUAUCCAAAUGCACAAUCGGUAAGGAGGUGUCAUGCUUCAACUCCAAGUGUAAGCUCACAGAAAAAGCACCAAGGCAAAGCUUUUCCAUUUUGUCAUCAAACUUUCUCUAAGGUGUAUGGAAGGUGACAACGUGCCAGCCAAAGAAGAAUGCUCAAUGAGCACCAUCCAACCGGAGCAAGGAUGUGGCAGGCUCUGGGUGCAGACAGAUGGAAGUCUCUGGCAAGUUCUUCUUUAUAUUUUUCUCACUCUGUGGAUAAAUACAGGCACUCACAGAUAUCAUUGUAAAUUUCAGUUGCUAUUUCUAGGGAGCCCAAUGUUGUGUGCAGUGUUAUAAGGAGAAUGUUGGCUCUUAUGUGAAGAUUUACCUCACUGCAUUGUCAUCUUCUGAUGAUACCCCCAGGAAAUACAUCCCAGAGUUCAAGGAAUAGAAAGACACACUGACCAAGCAGAGAUUUUCAAAUAACAUAGACUAGUAACUCAAUUAAAAACACAGUGGAGGGUCAAGGGAAAAGAAAAAAGGUAAAAUAAUCCACUUAGGAUAGAGUACAAGGAAGAUAGAAAGGACGUACUAUCUGAGUCCCGAGAUAUGUUCUAUCAGAGAAACACAGAAGUAUGCCUGGCCAAGAUGUAGUUCAUCUUUUAACCUGAUGAGCAGCUGUAGAUUUUAUUUAUGUCUCUUGGGAGACCGCAGGUAGGGUCAGAAAGGUGUCACAAAUGGUUGGUCAAUUUAAGAACUCAUAAAUAUUGUGUGCCUUCAUAAGCCUCAUGAAUUUGUUAUGUAUCAGGAGUAUUAUGUGUCUCAGGUAUAUGCAGUGUAUUAUGAAUAUUAAGUACCACUUGAUCUUUCUGUCUCUACGUCUGGUGCAUACCUGUUUUACUUAUGUUACCUAUUCCUAACCCAUAAUAUAGUUUACUGAUUUACUUAAUAUUUUCAUGAAUUCUGUCUGUACCUCACAAGCUACUUGUUUCCACAUCUAAUUUAUCAUCAUUUGUCUCUUUUUCCUAUUUCCUAUAUCAGAAUUGAAUCAUCUUAAAUAAUAAAGGAAAAAUCACAUUACAUUAAAAGUGAGAGAGGACUUGCUGGAGAGAAGGGAAAUGUAAAAGCUGGGAGAACUGGGUCAGUGAUAGUUGAGACAACAUUGUAAUUUAACAUAGUUAUAGUGAAUGUUGGGAGAUAAUGAAAAAAGAUAACACAGAUAGUGAAUCCACAUCUGUUUUAUAAGGUUGAUGAUUAGCACUUUCUUUCUUAUUAGAAACAGGAGUGUCUGCCACAAACAGGAAUGCCUUCUGCCCUGUUUCUACCUUAGAAUAUGGAAGUCACUCUUAAAAGGUCCAGAGUGAGAUAACUAUCUUCUUUCUUUACAUCUAAUUAUCACCUUUUCCUUAAGCAUUGCCUCCCUUAGGAACAGCCUCUUCACAGUGUGGUUGAUGGAGAAGAUAUCCACUUCCCAGGAUAGACUCCAUUUUCUACCCAAUGUCCCAGCGACACAAUUACCACAAAGAAGGGAGUUCGUCUCACUGAAACUGUUAAAGGAAGAUAAGAUGGUGUUUAAGACCCAUGGAGCUGAGGAAGUAACGAGAGAGAUCUCAAUGCCAGAACCUCCACGUCAGAGACCUCCAGGCCAAAUAGCCGAGCACAGAAGGAAAGAAUGGCUAGAACCCGGUUUGGCAAUGGCUGAAAACCGUGAAGAACGAGAUAGGUGACUAGGAUCCAGGGAAAUAAUUCAGUUUUCAAAAAAAGGCCAAAAGAUAAAAGCAAGCAAGAAAGCAAACAAAUAACAGUAAUAACAAAAUUUAAGAACCCCUUGCAUGGAAGAGAUACUUAUUUCCUCUGGACUGAAAGUUGGAUAUAAAGGAUUUCAGUAUUUUCGGAACACAUGAUGAUGGGAUUCCAAAUUCCUGUAUUAUCAGUUGGAUAUCUGGCCUAAAGAACUGUUCAAACUGCUCCAAUCUGAAAUUGAGGUUUAGCUUAUGUGACAGCAGCCCAGCACCAAAUGUUCUCUGACACACUAAGGAUUUUCUUGCCACAACACUGGACAUUUCGAAACCUAAGAACAAGGAAGUCUUAUGAAUGACUUUGUCACUACUCUUGACCACACGAUGGCAUCAGAAGUGGGGUCUAAAGUAGAGCUUCUAACAACCCCCAUGAGCACUGAGUGACCAAGCAAGGUACCCGCCAGGCCUAUUCUGUCUGUUGCUCUCUCAGAGCAGCUGGCGAUCAUGGAGGUUCAUGAUAGGAUGAAAAGAAACCUGAGAAGUACUCUUGAAUACAGGUUUCUGAAUAACUUUCGAAUCAUAUCAUUUGGACUGGGUAUGAUGAGACCAAAAGACCAGGAGACAACUGCCAAAGGUUAUACAACUCCAGAUCCAAAGGGAAAGGGACAUGACACUAUGCGGGAGGCACCUGGAAAAGCACCAAGGUUGGUCAGGAGGAAGAUGGACUGUGCUGAAACUGCAGAUGACAGACACUUCAUUGGCUUUGGCAAAGCAGAAAUUUAUUAGCUUACAAGGUUUAAGUAACAGCUUUUCUUUCCCAGCUCGGAUUUAUUUGAGUUCAAGGACUUCAGUAUUCAAUUUGAAGGAGUGGAAAUAAACCAGGAAAGAAUAAGGAGCAAGAAAGCCUCGAUUUCUUAUCCUUUUAAGUGGCUGAUAUCAAAAUAUCAAUGUGACCUCACCGGACUCAAAGUUGAGAAGACAUGCUCACAAAUGUAUCACAUUGCAUGGUUAAAGCUAGAGCAAAUCAGCUCCUGAAUAUCAUUACCUGCAGAAGUGAGCAUACUUCUCGAGAAUGAUGCCUUCUUUUACCUCGUGGAUAAGAGCAACUUGCAUCCUGGAUCAAAUUUUAGUUACCGUGUUUGUGCUACAAAGCUUAGAGCCAAACUAAAAGCUAAUUUAAAUUAAUGUAUGUAUUAUUUAAAAUAAUGUAUGUUUUCAAGUUUUUGCUGAGUCAUUUCUAGGUCUAUUUGAACUUAACUCAAUCCUUGUUUUAUUUUUUCAGUUUUGUUUUGUUUUCAGAGACAGGGUCUCACUCGGUAGCCCAGGCUGGA